AUCGUUUUACACUGUCCAAUCAAAUCUUUUUUUUUAUGAAAGUUGUAGUCGGAGAUCGCGGAAAAAGACACUGAAGUUGUAAAGCAAGAGAAAAUUGAUGGGGUUUUUUUUUCUCAAAAAAAGGCCAAAAAGGAUGAUGAUUUCAGCAAUCAUGAUGAUCAUGUAGCUGAAGAUGAUGUCCAGCCACAUGUUGAAGACCUAUUGGCUGAGGGCAAUUUAAAAAAAGAUUCCAACUCAUGAUGUAGCUGAUUAUCUCCAGGAGCAACCACACAAAUGAUAUGCAACAAGUACCUUUAUAUACAGUACUUCUAUUUAUUAUUUUCUACAGUAUGUGAAGCAGUAAUCCGGGCCUGUUACUACAAUAAAUACCUAUCUUGCAGAAACAAAAUGUUUUACUUUACUUC